UCCGUAGGUGAACCUGCGGAGGGAUCAUUGCUGGAACUGUGCCCUCGCGGGUGCAACCCCAGAUACCCUUUGUGAACUCAUACCUUUAUCGUUGCCUCGGCGCUGAGCCGGGAGCCUCUUCUGUGCUCCCCCACCGUGCAAGCGGUGGAGCAGGCCCGCCGGCGGCCCUUUAAACUCUUGUUUCUAGAAUGUAUCUCUUCUGAGCUUUUACAAAUAAACAAAUGAAUCAAAACUUUCAACAACGGAUCUCUUGGUUCUGGCAUCGAUGAAGAACGCAGCGAAAUGCGAUAAGUAAUGUGAAUUGCAGAAUUCAGUGAAUCAUCGAAUCUUUGAACGCACAUUGCGCCCGCUGGAAUUCCGGCGGGCAUGCCUGUUCGAGCGUCAUUUCAACCCUCAAGCCUAGCUUGGUGUUGGGGCGCUACCCGUCAAACGGUAGGCCCUGAAAUUUAGUGGCGGGCUCGCUAAGACUCUGAGCGUAGUAGUUUACUCAUCUCGCUUUGGAAGGCUUGGCGGUGCUCUUGCCGUAAAAACCCCCCAGUCUUUCUGAAAUUUUGACCUCGGAUCAGGUAG
rnacentral:rRNA from 1 species